rnacentral:piRNA from 1 species
UNCACUUGUCAGUGUUGGUACAUGGUAGGC